UGCCCACUAACUCAUAUCCCUACCUCCUCGCGGUACCGGCCGGAAACUAUGAGCAACCUUAGGGAAGAUCGGGUAACCAACCCCGGUGGGAACUUUGGUCGUAGGCUGACAGGGAAGG
rfam:Aedes albopictus isolate Foshan contig96818, whole genome shotgun sequence.